UGGCUAGAGCACGCGGUUCAUACCCGCGGUGUCGAGGGUUCGAAUCCCCCUCUCGCUA
rnacentral:tRNA from 1 species